UACGUAGGGUGCAAGCGUUAAUCGGAAUUACUGGGCGUAAAGCGUGCGCAGGCGGUUUUGUAAGUCAGAUGUGAAAAUCCCCGGGCUUAACCUGGGAACUGCGUUUGAAACUACAAGGCUAGAGUGUGGCAGAGGGGGGUGGAAUUCCACGUGUAGCAGUGAAAUGCGUAGAGAUGUGGAGGAACACCGAUGGCGAAGGCAGCCCCCUGGGUUAACACUGACGCUCAGGCACGAAAGCGUGGGGAGCAAACAGG
rnacentral:rRNA from 1 species